rnacentral:snoRNA from 1 species
UGAUUUACAAUGAUGAGAAACAAUUUUUUAAAAUUUUAUACAGUUAUCCCUGUCUGAAUGUGGUACAUAAAAUGAAAAGUUUACCACUUUUGUCGAUGUCUUUUACUCUGAAAAAAAA